AUCACUUCUCGGCCUUUUGGCUAAGAUCAAAUGUAGUUUUUGUUCUUAACGGUUUAAAUAAGGUGUGUGUGUGUAGUAGUUUAACCUAACAAUACUUACUGCAUGUGGUACUGAUGUUCUGAUAUUCUUAUCUAUCUUAUUCUGUCUUAAAAGACCAAUCUGGACCCUUC
rnacentral:snRNA from 1 species